rnacentral:rRNA from 1 species
UACAGAGGAGCCAAGCGUUGUCCGGAUUGACUGGGCGUAAAGCGCACGCAGGCGGAUGCGCGCGUGGGGUGUGAAAUCUGGCCGCUUAACGGCCAGGCGCCAUCCCAUACGGCGCGUCUGGAGUGAUGCAGAGGUCGGUGGAAUUCCCGGUGUAGCGGUGAAAUGUGUAGAGAUCGGGAGGAACACCGGUGGCGAAGGCGGGUCUCUGGGCAUCUCCUGACGCUGAGGCGCGAAAGCGUGGGGAGCAAACGGG